UUGCCCUGUGCUUUUGGGAGCCUGUGGGAUUUCGGUGUGUAUAUAUGUAUGUGUGUGCAUGCAUCUGUGGGGGGGGGGUGCUGUGCGUGUCUGUGAGUGUGCACUGUGCAUACGCAUGCUUGUGUCUGUAUGUGAGGGAGGUGCAAGUUCAUCAGGCAUAUGAGUGUGUGCAUGAGAGAGAAAGAGGGUUCUCUGUGAGAGGCUUUAUGAGUGUGAGAGAGCUGGUGGGGGAGCAGUUGUGGGACUGUGUGCUAAACUGAUCAGGCCCUCUGCUUCAGAGCCCUCCUGGCCCUGCCCGGAUGUCAACAAGGAAGAAAGUGGGCAGUGUAAUUGGGAGAUGGGAUACCUGGGACAUGCCAACUCUGGGCUUCCUUAAGCUGAAUAGCUGGGUUCAAGGCCUCCCCCACCCCCACUGGGGGGCCCCUUCAAGGUGGGGUCCUUCCACUACCCCUUGCCAGUUUGCCUUUCUUGAGAGGGUGCCCUGAUCAGUUGUAGCUAGAAAUGUUCUAGAAUCCGUGGUCUCUUAAGAAAGAGAGUGACCAAAGGAGGUGGGACAGACUCAGAGAAAGGCAGGUAGAGAAGAACACAGCAGGUCCCGGCUGGGGAGGAUAAAAAGAGGGGGAAAGAAACAUGGAGAAUCCCGGGGAAAGGCACAGGAGAGAGGGAGAAGUGAGCAAGCCAGCAGCGUCUCAGCCCAUAAAGCCCUUGGAAUGGGAGGAAGGGGUGAAAGACUCCCGCCUCAGCCCUGCCCAGUCAUGGCUCAGUGCAGAGUGAUUGGGCGGGGGGAGUGGAGGCCGGUUUUUGUCCAGGAGCUGAGAUGAGUGGAGUGACCUGGGGAGGCUUGGUUGGAGAGAAGAGGCAAGAGCAAGGUGUGAGGGGCCGAGAGAAAAGCCCUCCUGGGAAUAUAAUUCAAGGGAAUGACUCCAAGGAAAAGUUCUGAGGUUGUUCAAGGAACAAGAGGGAGGAAGCUCCUCAAGGACAGUUCACCUCCCCACUCGAGCACAUCUGGGCAAAUCCUUGAUUUGCUGACACCCUCUUUUGGCCCCUAGCUCAAGAAGCCCGUUUUCCUUCUCUGGCACAUUCUCCCAGUCUCUUCUUCUCACUGAAGGGACUUAGAGGGAACGGGCCAGGAGCUGAGGGCAAGGCCCCUGCACACAGGCACUGUGCUGGGGUCAUGCCUGUGACAUCCCAUUUAAUCUUCAUACCAACUCCUUGAGGUAAGAAUCAUCUUUCUGCUUCAGAGAGGAGGGAAGGAGAGGUCAGGGCUUGCCCAAAGGCACGCGGACGCACACAGCCGGGAUUUAAGUCACAUCUGCUUGAAGCCAGGAGCUGAGACUGCCCCACUCCCCUCUGCUGCCUUCUAGGGUCACGUCCACCCCACCUCUCCUGUCCUUGCCGCUGCACAGGUACAAUACACACUCCCACCCAAAACAAGAUCUGGGACCCAUGGCCAAAGUGGGGAGGAGUCAAGAGAAUGAGGGUGACCUGCUGAAGCUGUUCUCCCGGCUACCCCCGGCCGUGAGGACAUUGAGACCCAGGGCCUGAGUGUCCCCUAGGGUCCUUUGGACCUUGAGCUCCUCACCCAGGGCGUAGGGUUUGUUUAAGGACUCCUGGAGGAUGGAGGCUGAACCCAUUCAGGCUCAAGGGCAGGCUGGCUCUGCCCUGGGGCCCGCCUGGCUUCUGCUCCAAGGACCUGGAUCAGUUUCAAGCCCAGUCUCAAACAGCUAUGACCUGCGGGUUUUAGCCUCAACCAAAUAGUAGCCUGAGGCCCAGGGUUUAAGGGGAAGGAGUUCUUUCUCUGAAAUUCUGGAAAAUAGACUGAAAUUGAUCAUGGGAACGACCGCAGCGUCUGAGGCUCCAAACACCCGACUAUCUUGAAGACUACAGAUUUUAACAUUCUAAUACAAAUACCUGUGAAUCCGAAUGUCCCCUGACAUCCAAGCAUUUGUGUGCAUAGGUCACAGGACACCAAGGAGCUGAUGGCUGAGUGUCGAGGGUUGGAAGUCUGGGAUGGAAGGGAGCAGGCGCCAGUCCAGCAGGCCAGCAUCAGCCCUUCCCGGCUCCCUCCUGAGUCCUUGCAGUCCUCCCCGCCCGGGGAGGCCGCCGCUCAUCCCUCACCCUCCAGGAGCUUGGCCUGCUCAUCGCACCCUGGCCCCCAACUCAGAGUCGUCACAUAGAGACCGCCGCCCACUCGGUGGGAGAACCAAACUCUGAAAAGAUAAAGUUCCACUCCUGGAAAUAAACUCAAGAGCAAUGAAGACAUAGGCCCCCACACAAACAUGGGUCUAUCUAUGAACAGUUGCAUCUAUGUAGCAGGGCCCAUGGGCCUGUCCAUCUGAAUCUGGGUGUCUGGACCCCUCCUCCAGGCACCAGCCCCAGAAGGCGCCUGCCUCCCCACCCCCGCCUCUGACAGCCGUGGAGAGAGCGUCACAGUAAAUUCAUGGCCGCCUGGCUGGGAAACAGGCGGCUGCAAUGGAAAGGAAGCAUGGAUUUGCAUAUUGAAUUAAAAUUAAGAGCUAAUUAUGCAAAUAA